rnacentral:rRNA from 1 species
AGUGAACGCUGGCGGUAGGCCUAACACAUGCAAGUCGAACGGCAGCACAGUAAGAGCUUGCUCUUACGGGUGGCGAGUGGCGGACGGGCGAGGAAUACAUCGGAAUCUACUUUUUCGUGGGGGAUAGCGUAGGGAAACUUACGCUAAUACCGCAUACGACCUACGGGUGAAAGCAGGGGAUCUUCGGACCUUGCGCGAUUGAAUGAGCCGAUGUCGGAUUAGCUAGUUGGCGGGGUAAAGGCCCACCAAGGCGACGAUCCGUAGCUGGUCUGAGAGGAUGAUCAGUCACACUGGAACUGAGACACGGUCCAGACUCCUACGGGAGGCAGCAGUGGGGAAUAUUGGACAAUGGGCGCAAGCCUGAUCCAGCCAUACCGCGUGGGUGAAGAAGGCCUUCGGGUUGUAAAGCCCUUUUGUUGGGAAAGAAAAGCAGCAGGUUAAUACCCCGCUGUUCUGACGGUACCCAAAGAAUAAGCACCGGCUAACUUCGUG